AUGAUGAUAGCAAGAUCUCAUUGGGGUCAUAUAUCAAUAUGCGUCUUAAUUAUGGCCUUCUUUAUUGCUAUAGAGGUGUGUUCCUUGCAAGUUUACAAGAGAAUGAGAAAUAACAGACUCUGUUCAUGUUUCUUCAUACCUGUGGCCAUUUACAAGCUUUACGCUGACACUCUUGCAGUUGUGAGCUAAUUUGACUGGGUUUACGCAUCAUUUAGUGGUUGAAGUCUGGGGGGGAAAAAAAGAACACAAAAACUAGUACAUUGACUACUAUUUCUUAGCCACUGUUUUUUUUUUUUUACUACACUCUUUAUAUCGGUUUUGUCACCAUGCUGCUCAGACAUUUUUUCUGCUUUGUCCAUUAUAUGCAUUUUUGUGUUUUGUGUGCAUUGUUGAAAUGCAAGUCAGAACUGGAAACAAAAUUAUUUUUAAGCUUUUCUUUCAGAAAUGAGCAGACAAAGGCUGUGCCUGAGUACGUACUUUAAAAUAGUUGUUUCUUUGCCCAACCUCUAUAUGGUUGAUCGUUCCUGCUAGUGGACUUAAAUAGUUCUCAUCGUGUCAUUUAUUGUUUACAGGAAUAGCAAUGCAGUGUUUAAACUGACGUUUUUUGCAAUAAAUGUUAACUUGAAACAGUUGCCGGGUGUUUGCAAACUUGUGAUUUAAACAUUAGGAAGCCAAUCAGUGAUAUUUUUAGUUAAUUUAUGUAAAUCACACUUACCUACCAAUCUAUCACUGAGGAGCUUAACUCUUUUAAAUGCAAAUAACACUGUAGGCUAUGCACUUCAUGUGGAAUAUUUAACAUUAACAUGGUGUAUGGAACAAUAUCAAGCCAUUUUUGUCAGUGAUCUUGUUUGGACAACACUGAGUAACUGCAGUGCUUUGUACGUCUGAUGCUCUUGCUGCUUAGAUACUGUAGGUGAUGACUGCAUCCUGGAUCUAUUUAAGGAAAAACACCGUUUCAAGCAUGAUGCGGCAAUAAUUUAUUUAUGCAUCUUUAUAGGCUUUUCCCAUUUGUUACAGAUGUUGUCCACAAAAUUUAUUUAAUUUGUCUAUUACUUUUGAAUUAACGGCCAUUGGCCUGGAGUGAAGUGGUUUAAUCAGUGUAAUAUUUUUGUAAAUAGAAGCAUUGCGCUGCUUUUGGAGCACUAAACUGUAUUUGCAUUUGUACAGCUUAGCCACCAAAACCAUGUACAGUUGACCAUGAAUUGUUUGCUUUUGUCCAUUCAGAUUUCCCUUAGGUUUAUACUUUGCUUGCGAUUGCUGUUUUUAAUAGUUUUUUAUCUCAACCUCCCCUCAAAUGAUCUUUUGUAGUGUCAUCCUCAAACUCUUCCAUGUCUUUGAACAAUAAAAGAGACUGACAAAACCAUGUAACGUGUCAUGAAAUGUCAUUUACAAAGAAAUACACUUAUUGUAUUUCACUUAAAUGAAGUCGUUUGGGCUGUUUUAUUCUAUA
rnacentral:lncRNA from 1 species